GGCCUCUCAAUUCUUACCACAGGCUGUGUUCUUUACACUGACUGUAUAGAAAGAGGAGGUACAGUAAAUGCACCCCAUAUACACCUCAACCCUCCCAGGCCCUUUGCCUGGUCUGUAUUGUGAAUUGGGGGACAAAA